GCACUGCUGACGAGUCCCAAAUAGGAUGAAACAGCUAGCUGUCCGGUGC
rnacentral:hammerhead_ribozyme from 1 species